GUGAGUCAUCGAAUCUUUGAACGCAUAUUGCGCCCUUUGGUAUUCCGAAGGGCAUGCCUGUUCGAGCGUCAUUAUCACCUCUCAAGCCCCCGGGCUUUGGUGUUGGACGGUUUGGUCCCGGUGACGGGACCCCUCCUAAAAUUAAUGACGGCGGCCUGUUCGACCCCCGGUACACUGAGCUUAACUGAGCACGUAUCGGCCUAGACAGGACCCGGUCUUCUUCCUUAACCGGAAAAUCUCUCAAAAGGUUGACCUCGGAUCAGGUAGGGAUACCCGCUGAACUUAAGCAUAUCAAUAAGCGGAGGA
rnacentral:misc_RNA from 1 species